GACGAACGCUGGCGGCGUGCCUAAUACAUGCAAGUAGAACGCUGAAGGAGGAGCUUGCUCUUCUGGAUGAGUUGCGAACGGGUGAGUAACGCGUAGGUAACCUGCCUGGUAGCGGGGGAUAACUAUUGGAAACGAUAGCUAAUACCGCAUAACAGUAGAUGUUGCAUGACAUUUGCUUAAAAGGUGCAAUUGCACCACUACCAGAUGGACCUGCGUUGUAUUAGCUAGUUGGUGGGGUACCGGCUCACCAAGGCGACGAUACAUAGUCGACCUGAGAGGGGGUUCGGCCACACUGGGACUGAGUCUCGGCCCCGACUCCUUCGGGAGGCAGCAGUAGGGCAUCUUUGGCAAUGGCCGGCAGUCUGACCGAGCAACGCCGCGUCAGUGAAGCAGGUUUUCGGAUCGUAAAGCUCUGUUGUAAGAGAAGAUCGAGUGUGAGAGUGGAAAGUUCACACUGUGACGGUCUCUUACCAGAAAGGGACGGCUAACUACGUG
rnacentral:rRNA from 1 species